GUCUUGGUAGUGAAAUGGUAAACACACAAGACUCAAACUCUCAUGCUAAAGAGCGUGGAGGUUCGAGUCCUCUUCAAGGCA